AACUGGAGAAGUGGUAAGAGUUUCUGUCACUGAUGAGACAGUGGAUCAUCUCCUGAAGGAGGCUGGUGAGGCUAUCUGCCAGGAGGUUCCACAGUCCAUCUGGAGAUGGACCAGUGCUGAUGGGGAUUGACAUAAUAUAUUAACAACCAAAGGAAUUUACAACUAUAAAGUCUCUGACACGGUAACAGGGCUUUCUGGAUGUAGGAUUCUAGGAGAAUGAGGGUUUAUUUCAAUUCUUCUACCCUUGGAUCAGCGUGAGCUUUCUCCACAACCUGGGAGCACGUACCUAUGACUGCUGGCAUUACUGGGCUCUGGCCACCCAAGCAACCCUCAGUCCCAGGGGCAGCCCUGAUGAUUGGCAGUCAUGCAGAGCUUAGUUGCUAGAAGCUCCCUCUGAGUGAGAAUUUAUAUCUGUGUAGUUCACAAAUGUAGCUCAAACCGAUUUAA